rnacentral:rRNA from 1 species
UACGUAGGGUGCAAGCGUUGUUCGGAAUUACUGGGCGUAAAGCGCACGUAGGCGGCUUUGUAAGUUAGAGGUGAAAGCCCGGGGCUCAACCCCGGAAUAGCCUUUAAGACUGCAUCGCUUGAAUCCGGGAGAGGUGGGUGGAAUUCCGAGUGUAGAGGUGAAAUUCGUAGAUAUUCGGAAGAACACCAGUGGCGAAGGCGGCUCACUGGACCGGUAUUGACGCUGAGGUGCGAAAGCGUGGGGAGCAAACAGG